AUUGAACGCUGGCGGCAUGCCUUACACAUGCAAGUCGAACGGUAACAGGUCUUCGGAUGCUGACGAGUGGCGAACGGGUGAGUAAUACAUCGGAACGUGCCUAGUAGUGGGGGAUAACUACUCGAAAGAGUGGCUAAUACCGCAUGAGAUCUACGGAUGAAAGCAGGGGAUCGCAAGACCUUGUGCUACUAGAGCGGCCGAUGGCAGAUUAGGUAGUUGGUGGGAUAAAAGCUUACCAAGCCGACGAUCUGUAGCUGGUCUGAGAGGACGAUCAGCACAACUGGGACUGAGACACGGCCCAGACUCCUACGGGAGGCAGCAGUGGGGAAUUUUGGACAAUGGGCGCAAGCCUGAUCCAGCAAUGCCGCGUGCAGGACGAAGGCCUUCGGGUUGUAAACUGCUUUUGUACGGAACGAAAAGCCCUGGGUUAAUACCCUGGGGUCAUGACGGUACCGUAAGAAUAAGCACCGGCUAACUACGUGCCAGCAGCCGCAGUAACAC
rnacentral:rRNA from 1 species